CCUACGGGUGGCAGCAGUGGGGAAUAUUGCACAAUGGGGGGAACCCUGAUGCAGCAACGCCGCGUGGGUGAAGAAGUACUUCGGUAUGUAAAGCCCUGUCAGCAUGGAAGAAAAUGACGGUACGUGACCGAGAAGCUCCGUCUAACUACGUUCCAGCAGCUGCGGUAAUAAGUAGGGGGCAGGGGUUAUCCGGAUUUACUGGGUGUAAUGGGAGCGUAGGCGGCAAGGUAAGUCAGGAGUGAAAGUCCGUGGCUCAACCGGAGGACUGCAUUGGAAACUGGGUGGCUGGAGUGCAGGAGGGGUAAGCGGAAUUCCUAGUGUAGCGGUGAAAUGCGUAGAUAUUAGGAGGAACACCGGUGGCGAAGGCGGCUUACUGGACUGUAACUGACGCUGAGGCUCGAAGGCGUGGGGAGCAAACAGGAUUAGAUACCCCUGUAGUC
rnacentral:rRNA from 1 species